GUGUCAGCCGCCGCGGUAAUACGUAGGGGGCAAGCGUUGUCCGGAUUUAUUGGGCGUAAAGAGCUCGUAGGCGGUUCCGUAAGUCGUGAAGUCAAAUCUCUGGGCUCAACCCAGAAUCGCUUCCGAUACUGCGGUGACUGGAGUCCGGUAGGGGAGUGUGGAAUUCCUGGUGUAGCGGUGAAAUGCGCAGAUAUCAGGAGGAACACCAACAGCGAAGGCAGCACUCUGGGCCGGUACUGACGCUGAGGAGCGAAAGCAUGGGGAGCGAACAGGAUUAGAUACCCUAGUAGUCC
rnacentral:rRNA from 1 species